rnacentral:rRNA from 1 species
UACGAAGGGGGCUAGCGUUGUUCGGAUUUACUGGGCGUAAAGCGCACGUAGGCGGUUAUUUAAGUCAGGGGUGAAAUCCCGGGGCUCAACCCCGGAACUGCCUCUGAUACUGGGUAUCUGGAGUCCGGAAGAGGUGAGUGGAAUUCCGAGUGUAGAGGUGAAAUUCGUAGAUAUUCGGAAGAACACCAGUGGCGAAGGCGACUCGCUGGACAAGUAUUGACGCUGAGGUGCGAAAGCGUGGGGAGCAAACAGG